ACCUUAGAGACCAACUAAGUUUGUUCUGGGUAUAAGCUCUCGUGUGCAUAUGCUUAUACCCAGCUUAUACCCAGAAGAUACUUAGUUGGUCUCUAAGGU